GACGAACGCUGGCGGCGUGCUUAACACAUGCAAGUCGAACGGAAAGGCCCUGCUUGCCGGGUACUCGAGUGGCGAACGGGUGAGUAACACGUGGGUGAUCUGCCCUGCACUUCGGGAUAAGCCUGGUAAACUGGGUCUAAUACCGGAUAGGAGCCAUUUUUAGUGUGAUGGUUGGAAAGUUUUUUCGGUGUAGGAUGAGCUCGCGGCCUAUCAGCUUGUUGGUGGGGUAAUGGCCUACCAAGGCGGCGACGGGUAGCCGGCCUGAGAGGGUGGACGGCCACAUUGGGACUGAGAGACGGCCCAGACAGCUACGGGAGGGAGAAGGGGGGAAGAUUGAACAAGGGGCGCAAGGCUGAUGCAGAGAGGCCGCGGGGGGGAAGACGGCCUUCGGGGUGUAAAAUCCUUUCGCUAGGGACGAAGCUUUUUGUGACGGUACCUAGAUAAGAAGCACCGGCUAACUACGUG
rnacentral:rRNA from 1 species